rnacentral:rRNA from 1 species
GACGAACGCUGGCGGCGUGCUUAACACAUGCAAGUCGAACGGAAAGGCCCUGCUUUUGUGGGGUGCUCGAGUGGCGAACGGGUGAGUAACACGUGAGUAACCUGCCCUUGACUUUGGGAUAACUUCAGGAAACUGGGGCUAAUACCGGAUAGGAGCUCCUGCUGCAUGGUGGGGGUUGGAAAGUUUCGGCGGUUGGGGAUGGACUCGCGGCUUAUCAGCUUGUUGGUGGGGUAGUGGCUUACCAAGGCUUUGACGGGUAGCCGGCCUGAGAGGGUGACCGGCCACAUUGGGACUGAGAUACGGCCCAGACUCCUACGGGAGGCAGCAGUGGGGAAUAUUGCACAAUGGGCGGAAGCCUGAUGCAGCAACGCCGCGUGCGGGAUGACGGCCUUCGGGUUGUAAACCGCUUUCGCCUGUGACGAAGCGUGAGUGACGGUAAUGGGUAAAGAAGCACCGGCUAACUACGUGCCAGCAGCCGCGGUGAUACGUAGGGUGCGAGCGUUGUCCGGAUUUAUUGGGCGUAAAGGGCUCGUAGGUGGUUGAUCGCGUCGGAAGUGUAAUCUUGGGGCUUAACCCUGAGCGUGCUUUCGAUACGGGUUGACUUGAGGAAGGUAGGGGAGAAUGGAAUUCCUGGUGGAGCGGUGGAAUGCGCAGAUAUCAGGAGGAACACCAGUGGCGAAGGCGGUUCUCUGGGCCUUUCCUGACGCUGAGGAGCGAAAGCGUGGGGAGCGAACAGGCUUAGAUACCCUGGUAGUCCACGCUGUAAACGGUGGGUACUAGGUGUGGGGUCCAUUCCACGGGUUCCGUGCCGUAGCUAACGCUUUAAGUACCCCGCCUGGGGAGUACGGCCGCAAGGCUAAAACUCAAAGGAAUUGACGGGGCCCCGCACAAGCGGCGGAGCAUGCGGAUUAAUUCGAUGCAACGCGUAGAACCUUACCUGGGUUUGACAUGGAUCGGGAGCGCUCAGAGAUGGGUGUGCCUCUUUUGGGGUCGGUUCACAGGUGGUGCAUGGCUGUCGUCAGCUCGUGUCGUGAGAUGUUGGGUUAAGUCCCGCAACGAGCGCAACCCUUGUUCACUGUUGCCAGCACGUUAUGGUGGGGACUCAGUGGAGACCGCCGGGGUCAACUCGGAGGAAGGUGGGGAUGACGUCAAGUCAUCAUGCCCCUUAUGUCCAGGGCUUCACGCAUGCUACAAUGGCUGGUACAGAGAGUGGCGAGCCUGUGAGGGUGAGCGAAUCUCGGAAAGCCGGUCUCAGUUCGAAUUGGGGUCUGCAACUCGACCUCAUGAAGUCGGAGUCGCUAGUAAUCGCAGAUCAGCAACGCUGCGGUGAAUACGUUCCCGGGGCU